CGAGGGGGGCAAAUGUUGUUCGGAAUCACUGGGCGUAAAGGGAGCGUAGGCGGGCUCUUAAGUUAGGUGUUUAAUCCCGGGGCCCAACCCCGGACAGGCACCUAAAACUGGGAGUCUUGAAUAGUGGAGAGGACGGCGGAAUUGGGGGUGUAGCGGUGGAAUGCGUAGAGAUCCCCAAGAACACCAGUUGCGAAGGCGGCCGUCUGGACACAUAUUGACGCUGAGGCUCGAAAGCAUGGGGAGCAAACAGGAUUAGAUACCCUGGUAGUCCAUGCUAUAAACGAUGAAUACUAGGUUUUGGGCCCGUCAACGGUCCAGAGCCGCAGCUAACGCGUUAAGUAUUCCGCCUGGGAGUACGCUCGCAAGAGUG
rnacentral:rRNA from 1 species